UGGGGAAUAUUGCACAAUGGGGGAAACCCUGAUGCAGCGACGCCGCGUGGACGAAGAAGGUAUUCGUAUCGUAAAGUUCUGUCCUAUGGGAAGAUAAUGACAGUACCAUAGAAGAAAGCUCCGGCUAAAUACGUGCCAGCAGCCGCGGUAAUACGUAUGGAGCGAGCGUUGUCCGGAAUUAUUGGGCGUAAAGGGUACGCAGGCGGUUUAAUAAGUCGAAUGUUAAAGAUCGGGGCUCAACCCCGUAAAGCAUUGGAAACUGAUAAACUUGAGUAGUGGAGAGGAAAGUGGAAUUCCUAGUGUAGUGGUGAAAUACGUAGAUAUUAGGAGGAAUACCAGUAGCGAAGGCGACUUUCUGGACACAAACUGACGCUAAGGUACGAAAGCGUGGGGAGCAAACAGG
rnacentral:rRNA from 1 species